CUGCUGCUGAUGAGACCCGACUAGGUCGAAACAGCUGUCCAGUAC
rnacentral:hammerhead_ribozyme from 1 species